CGGCCACCUACUCUCCUUAUGGCUAACAAGAGCAGCUGAUUGAGCCGGCGGCUGGGGUUUUUCUCGCGAAUUGCACAGGAUCGGUGGGGAUGCAGCGGCUGUUGCGCUCGUUGGCGCCGCUGUUGGCGCCGCCGGACAAGGCCUUGCUUGGCAAGCUGCGAAAAAAACCAGGCGCUUGAAGUCUUCGGCCAAAGGUGGCCGUAGGUCUCAGCGACUCUCCCUGGUGGCGCCAGGUCUUUUAAGAAUCUCAAAGCAGGUGCUGACGAUCAACGCGAAGAACAGUACCUGCGGCGGUGACUGAUGGACACCUGGGCACCGCCUCCUACAAGACGCAGUGUUUCAGUGGCGUGGCGUGGAAGCAAGCGGGUGCAGCAGCGAGCAGACUGGCGUCGGACCGAGUGCAACCUUGCCUCACCAGGAAAAAACCUUCCAAACGCAAAUCAACGUCGAGCCAUUGUCUGUGAUUCGCGUCCUUCCCUCUCCCGCCCUAAUCAACCACUCUUUCUGCGUGUUGACUGACCAAAAUAAAUCUCGACUUUACUUUCUCUUGAAUAACCCAUUUCAUUAAAUUUUGAUGAGAAAAUUAACAAAAGAGAGCUUUUUCCCACAUU